GACAGAGGGGGCAAGCGUUGCUCGGAAUUACUGGGCGUAAAGGGCGCGUAGGCGGAAUGGCAAGUCGGUCGUGAAAUCCUUCGGCUCAACCGAAGAACGUCGAUCGAAACUGCCGUUCUUGAGGAUUGCAGAGGAGACUGGAAUUCCCGGUGUAGCGGUGAAAUGUGUAGAGAUCGGGAGGAACACCGGUGGCGAAGGCGGGUCUCCGGGCAAUUCCUGACGCUGAGGCGCGAAAGCGUGGGGAGCAAACGGG
rnacentral:rRNA from 1 species